ACUCAUGGCCUUUAUGUCUAGGGCUACACACGUGCUACAAUGGGUGGUACAAAGAGCAGCUAACUCGCGAGAGUAUGCAAAUCUCAAAAAGCCAUCCUCAGUUCGGAUUGGAGUCUGCAACUCGACUCCAUGAAGUUGGAAUCGCUAGUAAUCGCGGAUCAGCAUGCCGCGGUGAAUACGUUCCCGGGCCUU
rnacentral:rRNA from 1 species